CUCAUGUAGCUGGCUGUAUGAGACCUUUUCACAAUUUAACGCGAUAUUGUUAAAUCACAAGUUUGCGGUUUCAGCAGUGUUUACACUCAGUUGAACAUUUUUCAUGAUUUAGAGAUGUCACAAUUUCCUCAGACAGAGGCAUCUCUGCACUACUAGGAGCUUGCUGCGCUAAUGCAACCUGAACAGCACGGCAAAGCAUCUGAUCUGCUUGAUUUGAGAAGAUGUGGCUGGGCCUGCAGAGCAAGGGUGCCCUGCAAGCUCUCACUCAAGGAACGCAUUUCAAUGGUCAUCUGUCAGCCGACUGGGUGUGUCAAAGUACCAUUAGAAGGUCAACUAAACAAUAAUUGAAGGGAAACCAUAGCCAUGAAAAAUAAAUGCUUGGUCAACGAUGAACCACAGAACAUUUCGUCCCAGCUGCUCUCAAGUGUCAUCAAGGGCUACAACAGGACUCCUCGCGAAGUUUCUGGAUUCGCACCUUCCUACUAGAUGCAGAUCAUAUCCGGCCAUAUUGAAGCAACGUGGUGAUAAUGCUGAGAAAGCAAACUGGUGAAGAGCUUGCUCGCCUGC